GGAGAGAUGCCAGAGUGGUCGAAUGGGGCGGUCUCGAAAACCGUUGACCGGUCUCCCGGUCCGAGGGUUCGAAUCCCUCUCCCUCCG
rnacentral:tRNA from 1 species